AUACGUAGGGUGCGAGCGUUGCUCGGAGUUACUGGGCGUAAAGCGCGCGUAGGCGGUUUGGUAAGUCGGAUGUGAAAGCCCCGGGCUCAACCUGGGAAUUGCAUUCGAUACUGCCAGACUAGAGUAUGGUAGAGGGAAGUGGAAUUCCGGGUGUAGCGGUGAAAUGCGUAGAUAUCCGGAGGAACACCAGUGGCGAAGGCGACUUCCUGGACCAAUACUGACGCUGAGGUGCGAAAGCGUGGGGAGCAAACAGGAUUAGAAACCCUAGUAGUCC
rnacentral:rRNA from 1 species